CUGAAAAUAAUCGGUUGGAACUGUCGUGGUAUGCUCUCUCUUACGGCAGUUCGCGAGCUCUUGGACCUACAGGAGCGCACCAAAGCAGAGUUAAUUUUCCUUUCAAAGUCUCAUUUGAAUAAAUGUAAAGCCGAUGAGCUUCGUCGUGUUUUGAGUUUUGAUUCUAUGUUUGUAGUGGAGAGUGAUGGCCGAGCAGGUGGCCUUGUCUUGUUUUAUCAGAGAGUGAAUAAAGUUGAUUUGAACUACGUGUCGAAUAAUUUUAUUGAUGUUCUUUUUAUGAAUGGGAAUACUCUAUAG
rnacentral:rRNA from 1 species